UGAUUGGGUUACCUCACUCAAGAUGAUAUCCCCCAGAUGCUGUAAGACACCCUUUCGGGGACCCCCACUCUAGUCUCAGGAGUGUGAGAGCACCCAAAGAAACACGAGGACCC
rnacentral:pre_miRNA from 7 species